GACCAACCCUUAAAGACUGCUGCAUCUUCAGGAUAUUCUAGUCCAACAUCGAGGUCACAAACUUUCUUUUCGAUAGGGACUCUCAAAGAAAAUUAUGCUGUUAUCCCUAUGGUAACUAAUUCCAUUAAUCAGAAUUUCUGGAUCAAAGCCUGUUGGCAUAAAAGCAGUAAAGAAGCUUUGUUUGUUCCUUAGUCGCCCCAACCAAAAUCUAAAAUAGAUUAAUAUUUAGGUUUAUACACUAUUUUCUAUUUAUUCCUUUAAAGCUCAAUAGGGUCUUCUUGUCUAUCAAUAAAAUUUAGGUUUCUUCACCUAAAAAUCAAAUUCUAGAAAUUUACAUAGAGACAGUUUUGCUCACGUCAAACCAUUCAUACUAGCCCUCAAUUAUAGGGCAAAUGAUUAUGCUACCUUUGCACGGUCAGAGUACCGCGGCCGUUGAAAACUUAAUUCACUGGGCAGGUCCGACUC
rnacentral:rRNA from 1 species